AAACCACUCCAACACAUGUGGCUUAAAACAAUGAUAUAUUAUUUUUCAUAAUUCUCUAGGUUGACUGGACAGUUCUUCGGCUUCAUUUAGUAUUGGCUGGGGAUCACUCAUAAAGCUGCAUUCACCUGAGAGCUUGGCCGGAGGCAUUUUGGUGCUCUUCCACAUGGUCCCUCUCUCCACAUAAUGUCUCAUCUUUCAGGGCUUCUCCAUAUGACCUAUAUCUCCAUCGGGAUAACCUGGACUUCCUUAAGCGUGAAGGUUGGGUUCUAAGAGGGAGAAUUCCAAAAGUACAAAACCUCAUGAUGAUUCUCCCCCCCACCCUCCCAGAUACCCUCCUCCUGAUCCUGCUGGGUGGGUUUUAAAGGUCGUGGAAUCUUCACAUCAACUUAUGGAUGAAGAUGCGGCAACUCAGAAAAUUUAAGUGAUUUUCCAAGUCCCACAGCUAGUAAUUGCCAGAACUGGCGUGAAAACCUGCUGGAAUUUGGCUCCAGUAGGAAGCUCAAAGAAAAUUUAGUAACAGCCAUAUAAUUAGUGUUCCUUGGAACAUAUUGAAGGACAAAUGAAAAGUACCUGUUGAAAUGGGGCAGUCACAAGCAGGAUGAAAGCUUACCACUCGGUUCUUCAGUACAUGUUAUUUUAUCUUCACAAAACCUUAGGACUGUGCUCCUGUAUCUCCACAGUGCCUGGAAGAUAGGCACUCAACGAAUGCCUGUUGAAUGCGCAGAUGAACGAGCGAAAUGAAAGGAGUAGAAUGGGCAAUAAGAGCUGUCUGCGGUGAGAUGAAGGACUGAUCAAUGACUGCAAUGGUUGGACAAGCUUUAAGGAGGUGCUGGGACUUGAGUAGAAUCUUGAAGAACAGGUAGAACAUAAAUGAGGUUCUGAACAAUUUUAAGAAAUUUGAUAAAAGGGCCAAGACAGAGCGAAACUAUCACCUUUAUUACUGAAAGGGGCUCAUUUGGAAGUGUAGUUCAGCAGGGAAACAAUGUGUGUCAGGGGCCUGGCGGAAGCAGAAGCACACUCAGGCAGACCUGGGAAGAGACUGGACAAAGGGACGCUUCACAGAGUGCCUCCCAGUAGCCCAGGACAAGGGAGCCCAAAGGCUAUGGGCCCCAGCAGCCAGCUCCUUGGGACACAGAGCUGCCAGGAGGAUGGUGAGCGUUCCUGGGGCGGCCAAAUGAGCGAAGCUUGCCCAUCAGUACCAGUGCCCACGCUAUUCCAGGUGAAAGGAAAAUUUGACUCCGCAGAUUCCCUCUGGAGAGCACCGUUCAGGAGAGCAAUGCCAUUGUCCAGACCUGGGCUAUUUGAGGAAUGAAAGAGGAAGAGAAGAUGACACACUGUAGACCGAUCUCCAAGGACAACAGGCAGUCCAGAUGGCAAGCAGUUGGAUCAGGCCUGUUCCUGCCAAGACAUUGCUCAAUUUUGCAAGGAACUCAGGCAAAGUUUGAUUUAAGAGGCCUGGUUUCUCUGAGAAAUUGUCUUGGCCAAAGAAGAGCUGACUUAGCUCUCAGGUUGUCCAUCUUUGAGGACAAGCCUUGUGGCAUUCUUUCCCCGGGCUGCCCCUGCAGAGCCUGACGGGCACACAUUACUGUCACUGUGUGCUGACCAGCAGUCAUACCGCUUAGAGUGAAGAGGAAUUAUCUUGCCAUUUGGUCUAGCUCUAUGGAUGAAGUUAGAGUUAAUCUGGGUGGGUGAGAUUACAUAGAAGGUAAAAAGUACCUUCUGACCUCCAGUGUUCUCGUUCAGAGGGCCCUAUUUCUAUCUUGUUUUUGUUAUCUAUCUAUUUAUCUAUCUAUCUAUCUAUCUAUCUAUCUAUCUAUCUAUCUAUCUAUCUAUCAUCUAUUCAUUCAUUCAAUACUUAUUGAGAGCAGUGGUCAGGCAGGGCUACCACAUUGCUCAAUCCUAGCAUACCCCAAUUUAUGCAAUGUCAUAGCCCUAUUAGCCUUUAUACUUGGCCUAGGGUAUACAGAUGAAUAACAUGCAGAAGAUUCAAUGUACAAUGUACAAGAUUAGGAAUAUACAAUGAGUGGGAAAGGCAGAUAAUAAAUCACAUUGCCACACUGGGAGGAUUGCAUCAGACACAAAUCAAGUGUUGGUGACAGAGGACAGAGCAGUCAACUGUAACAACACUAAGACGUCCCACAUCAUCUAUUACUUGGAUUAAAUAAUCAAACACUCAGAUAAAAACAUCAGU